rnacentral:rRNA from 1 species
AUUGAACGCUGGCGGCAGGCCUAACACAUGCAAGUCGAGCGAGCGGCGGACGGGUGAGUAAUGUAUGGGGCUCUUCCCGAUAGAUAGGGAUCACUACUGGAAACUGUUGCUACUACCGCAUACUAUCGCCUGAACCCAUAUGGGAUUAGCUAGUAGGUGGGGUAAAGGCUCACCUAGGCGACGAUCUCUAGCUGGUCUGAGAGGAUGAUCAGCCACACUGGAACUGAGACACGGCCCAGACUCCUACGGGAGGCAGCAGUGGGGAAUAUUGCACAAUGGGCGAAAGCCUGAUGCAGCCAUGCCGCGUGUGUGAAGAAGGCCUUAGGGUUGUAAAGUACUUUCAGCGGGGAGGCGUUACCCGCAGAAGAAGCACCGGCUAACUCCGUGCCAGCAGCCGCGGUAAUAC